rnacentral:rRNA from 1 species
GAUGAACGCUGACAGAAUGCUUAACACAUGCAAGUCAACUUGAACUUCGGUUUGGGUGGCGGACGGGUGAGUAACGCGUAAAGAACUUGCCUCACAGCUAGGGACAACAUUUGGAAACGAAUGCUAAUACCUGAUAUUAUGAUUUUAGGGCAUCCUAGAAUUAUGACAGCUAUAUGCGCUGUGAGAGAGCUUUGCGUCCCAUUAGCUAGUUGGAGAGGUAACGGCUCACCAAGGCGAUGAUGGGUAGCCGGCCUGAGAGGGUGAACGGCCACAAGGGGGCUGAGACACGGCCCUUACUCCUACGGGAGGCAGCAGUGGGGAAUAUUGGACAAUGGACCAAGAGUCUGAUCCAGCAAUUCUGUGUGCACGAUGAAGUUUUUCGGAAUGUAAAGUGCUUUCAGUUGGGAAGAAAAAAAUGACGGUACCAACAGAAGAAGUGACGGCUAAAUACGUG